CCUACGGGAGGCUGCAGUGAGGAAUAUUGGUCAAUGGCCGUAAGGCUGAACCAGCCAAGUAGCGUGAGGGAAGACUGCCCUAUGGGUUGUAAACCUCUUUUAUGCGGGGAUAAAGGUGUCCACGUGUGGAUGUUUGCAGGUACCGCAUGAAUAAGGACCGGCUAAUUCCGGGCCAGCAGCCGCGGUAAUACGGAGGGUCCGGGCGUUAUCCGGAUUUAUUGGGUUGAAAUGGCGCGUAGGCCGGUCUUUAAGCGUGCCGUGAAAUUUUGUGGCUCAACCAUGGGAGUGCGGCGCGAACUGGAGACCUUGAGGGCGCGGAAGGCAGGCGGAAUUCGUGGUGUAGCGGUGAAAUGCUUAGAUAUCACGAAGAACCCCGAUUGCGAAGGCAGCCUGCCGCAGCGUUACUGACGCUGAAGCUCGAAAGCGCGGGUAGCGAACAGGAUUAGAUACCCUGGUAGUC
rnacentral:rRNA from 1 species